AUUGAACGCUGGCGGCAGGCCUAACACAUGCAAGUAGAACGAGUGGCGGACGGGUGAGUACUGUCUGGGAAAAUGACUGAUGGAGGGGGAUAAUUACUGGAAACGGUAGCUAAUACCGCAUUCCAUCGGAUGUGCUCAUAUGGGAUUAGAUAGUAGGUGGGGUAAAGGCUCACCUCUGCGACGAUCUCUUGCUGGUCUGAGAGGGUGAUCUGCCACCCGGGAGCGGAGCCACGGUCCAGACUCCUACGGGAGGCAGCGGUGGGGAAUAUUGCACAAUGGGCGCAGGCCAGCUACAGCCAUGCCGCGUGUGUGAAGAAGGCCUUCGGGUUGUAAAGUACUUUCAGCGGGGAGGCAUUACCCGCAGAAGAAGCACCGGCUAACUCCGUGCCAGCAGCCGCGGUAAUAC
rnacentral:rRNA from 1 species